rnacentral:rRNA from 1 species
AGUUUGAUUAUGGCUCAGAUUGAACGCUGGCGGGAUGCUUUGCCACACACAUGCAAGUCGGGAACGGUAUCGGGACUUGUCUGGUGAGCGAGUGGCGAACGGGGUGAGUAAUGGUCGAGAACGUGCCUGUAGCGGGGGAUAACUGAUAAGAAAGCGUAGCUAUAUCGCAUACGCCUCUUCGGGGAAAGCGGGGACCUUUCGGGCCUCGCACUAGGAGCGGCCGACACGGAUUAGCUAGCGGUGGGUAACGGCUCACCAAGGCGACGAUCCGUAGCUGGUCGAGAGGACGACCAGCCACACCGACCGGAGACAUCGGCCCAGACUCCUACGGGAGGCAGCAGUGUAAUUCUUGACGGCCGGGAAACUCCCGAUCCAGCCAUCCCGCGUGUGCGAUGAAGGCCUUCGGGUUGUAAAAGACUUUCGGUAGAAGAAAACGGUACUGGAUAAUACCCCGUGCAACUGACGGUACCUGCAGAAUAAGCACCGCCAACUACGCGCCAGCAGCCGCGGUAAUACGAAAAAGCGUUAAUCGAAUUACCGGGCGCAAAGUGCGCAGGCGGUUCGGUGCAGAUGUGGAACUUGCGAGCUAACUUUGAACUGCAUUUUUAACUACCGAGCUAGGAGGAAGUCGAGUGGAGGUGGAAUUCCGCGGUGUAGUGAAGUGAUAUGGGAGGGUCACAUCGAGCACAGGCAGCCUCCUGGGAUAACACUGACGCUCAUGCACGAAAGUGGGAGCAAACAGGAUUAGAUACCCUGGUGAAUCCACGCCUCAAACGAUGUCAACUAGCUGCUAAAUUGCCCAGUAGCGCAGCCAAUCGCGUGUUGACCGCCCGGGGGAGCAUGGUCGCAAGAUUAAACUCAAAGGAAUUGACGGGGACCCGCACAAGCAGAUGAUGUGGAUUAAUCUGAUGCAACGCGAAAACCUUACCUACCCUUGACAUGUCUGGAAUCCCGAAGAGAUUUGGGAGUGCUCAAGAGAACCGGAACACAGGUGCUGCAAUACGGCUGUCGUCAGCUCGUGUCGUGAGAUGUUGGGUUGUCCCGCAACGAGCGCAACUUGUCAUUAGUUGCCACGAAAGGGCACCUAAUGAGACUGCCGGCGACAAACCGGAGGAAGGUGGGGAUGACGUCAAGUCCUCAUGGCCUCUGCGGCAGGGCUUCACGUCAUACAAUGGUCGGGACAGAGGUCGCCUAACCUGCGAGGGGGAGUCGACCUCAGAACCUGAUCGGGGUCCGAUCGCAGUCUGCACCUCGACUGCGUGAAGUUUGAAUCGCUAGUGACCUGCGGAUCAGCACGCGGUGAAUACGUUCCCGGGUCUUCUGUACACACCGCCUGUCACACCAUGGGAGUGGGCUUUACCAGCGAAGUUAGCCUAACCGUAUGAGGGUUAUCACUUUCACGGUAGGAUUCAUGACUGGGUGAACAACAAGGUAA